ACACUUUAGACUGUCGACCAAUCGGAAGGCCAAAUUGUCUAAAGUCUACAGCGGCCAUUGCACAGCGCCCGUUUUGACUGCAUAAUUUAUGGUAGUGGGGGACUGCGUUCGCGCUCUCUCCUG
rnacentral:snRNA from 1 species